UACAGAGGUCUCAAGCGUUGUUCGGAUUCAUUGGGCGUAAAGGGCGCGUAGGCGGCGGGGUAAGUCGGGUGUGAAAUCUCAGAGCUCAACUCUGGAACUGCACUCGAUACUGCUCUGCUUGAGGACUGGAGAGGAGACUGGAAUUCACGGUGUAGCAGUGAAAUGCGUAGAUAUCGUGAGGAAGACCAGUGGCGAAGGCGGGUCUCUGGACAGUUCCUGACGCUGAGGCGCGAAGGCCAGGGGAGCAAACGGG
rnacentral:rRNA from 1 species